AGCGAACGCUGGCGGCAGGCCUAACACAUGCAAGUCGAACGAACCUUUCGGGGUCAGUGGCGGACGGGGGAGGAACACGUGGGAACGUGCCCUUAGGUUCGGAAUAACUCAGGGAAACUUGUGCUAAUACCGAAUGUGCCCUUCGGGGGGAAGAUUAAUCGCCUUUAGAGCGGCCCGCGUCUGAUUAGCUAGUUGGUUGAGGUAAUGGCUCACCAAGGCGACGUUAAGUAGCUGGUCUGAGAGGAGGAUCAGCGACAUUGGGAGUGAGACACGGCCCAAAAUCCUACGGGAGGCAGCAGUGGGGGAUCUUGCGCAAUGGGCGAAAGCCUGACGCAGCCAUGCCGGGUGAAUGAUGAAGGUCUUAGGAUUGUAAAAUUCUUUCACCGGGGACGAUAAUGACGGUACCCGGAGAAGAAGCCCCGGCUAACUUCGUG
rnacentral:rRNA from 1 species